rnacentral:tRNA from 1 species
GCGUGAUUGGUAUAAUGGUAUUAUGUCUGGCUUCCACCCAGAAGACGAGAGUUCGAUUCUCUCAUCCAGCG